rnacentral:lncRNA from 1 species
CUUUUCUUUUUCCUGUCUCUGUCGGUUUUUGAUCAUGGCCUGGUAUUGUGAUGCUGGGAAGAGCAUUAAGCCAAGAACUGUCUCUCUCUUUCGUUAAGUGAACCAGUGUCCUUGCAUUUCAUUUGUACUGCAAAAAUUUGCUAUUGUUUAGACUUUCCAUCUUUUUUUUUUAUUUUGAGGAAAAGUCAAAUUCAUUGUUUAUUUUUAUAUUAUUUUUAAGUUAUCUGAACAAAUACUUUUGAAAAAGAAAAAAAAGUUCGUUGUAUAGUCAAAACAAAGCGGUGCCACCCGGCUGUGACAAAUCCUAGUAGAUUCUGUGCAUGUGGAACGGCCGCGAAGAGGCGACACCGUUUGGGGCUGUGUCCUUAUUUUAUUUUAUUUUUUUGUAGAAUGUAAAAAGUCAUUUUAGCUGCCACCCAUGACUUUGCCACAUAGCUGAACUGUGUUUACUGGAAAAAUUCAGAGGCCUAAAGUUUAAAAUAAAAUUUACUUCUGAUGUUUUAAUUAAAAUGUUUGCCACAUUAACUUCUCUGAUGCCUUAAAAGUGGACUUCUUUAAAGAACCUUUGUGCUAUUUUAUCACAGGCUUACACCACAAUUGUUAAUCAAUAUUUCAUUUGGAGAUUUAUGGUGUAAAACACACACACACACACACACACACACACACAGACAAAAGCACAAACCCGGUGCUCCCUGGCUCGCUCCUUUCUGCAUCCGAUCCUGCUGCAUUCUGCGUCUUCCCAGGCCCGCCUCAGAUCCAGGGAGGUUUCAGGGGAACCAAAGUCACGGCUGGUUUUUAAUUUUCUUUUUUUAACACUAAUUUUUUUGUGGUCGGACCCAACAGCACAGUCUGUCCUUUUUAAACUGGAAUGACCGCCUUCAAAUACUGUACCUGUUAGUGCCAAACCCGCAGGGAGACCACAAGGGUCCGGUUUUUUUUUCCCUUUGCGUUAAAUGCUUGGCAGACACAGCACAGCCAACAUUUUGCAAACUGCAGCAGAAAUAAAAUUUAAAACAAAAAGGAGGGACUUUUAAAAACUUUCUUGACGCAAAAACAAAACAAAACAAUGCACAACUUAGGAAAGUGUUCAUUCAAGGGACUAAAUGAAAUAGAAUGUCCCGAGUGGUCGGUGGGUCACACUCUGGCUCUGUGACGGCUGACAAGGCUUAGCUACGUGGAAAAGCCUGAGAAGUCACUUUGGAACUAAAUUGCCUCCGUUUUAUUUUGUAUAAGUAAAGGUUUGAUCUGAAAACGAGCUCACGUGUACAUGUGAACGUUUGCAAGUUUCCUCAUACCUGCACUUGGUUUGUGUUCUAGAUUAACUAGUCGAUGCCCUCAUCGCUUCAUUGUCUCGAAAUUGAGCGCUUCACUAAAUGGUAGAUUUUACUGUUAAAGACCCU